GCCAAGCUGAGAUAGCUCAGUUGGUAGCACAUGAGACUCUUAAUUUCAGGGUUGUGGGUUCGAGCUCCACGUUAGGCA